rnacentral:pre_miRNA from 1 species
AUUACAUGUUUUGUGCGUGAACCUAAUUCGAAAGGCUUUAUUAUGGACGAGAUUUUGUGUGUGUUUUCUAGCUGUUGGAUUAGAUUCACGCACAAACUCGUAAU